rnacentral:tRNA from 1 species
GGAGGGGUGGCAGAACGGUCAUGCGUCCGCCUGCAGAGCGGAAUAACCGAGUUCAACUCUCGGCCCCUCCUCCA